rnacentral:rRNA from 1 species
GAACGGUAAGUUAGAUAGCAAUAUUUGACCAAGAGUGUCGUAAGGGUGCGUAACACGUAUGCAAUCUGCCCUCAACAGGAGGAUAGCUCCCCGAAAGGGGAAUUAACACUCCGUAAUAUGUAGUGGUGGCAUCACUAUUACAUUAAAACUACGGUGGUUGAGGAUGAGCAUGCGCAUGAUUAGUUAGUUGGCGGGGUAACGGCCCACCAAGACGAUGAUCAUUAGGGGAACUGAGAGGUUGAUCCCCCACACUGGCACUGAGAUACGGGCCAGACUCCUACGGGAGGCAGCAGUAGGGAAUAUUGGACAAUGGGUGCGAGCCUGAUCCAGCCAUGCCGCGUGCAGGAAGACGGCCUUCUGGGUUGUAAACUGCUUUUGCCAGGGGAUAAAAAGUCCCUGCGGGGAAAAUUGAAGGUACCUGGUGAAUAAGCCACGGCUAACUACGUGCCAGCAGCCGCGGUAAUACGUAGGUGGCAAGCGUUGUCCGGAUUUAUUGGGUUUAAAGGGUGCGUAGGUUGUUUUGUAAGUCAGUGGUGAAAUCCGGCAGCUCAACUGUCGAUGUGCCAUUGAUACUGCAGAACUUGAGUACAGACGAGGUAGGCGGAAUUGACGGUGUAGCGGUGAAAUGCUUAGAUAUCGUCAAGAACACCGAUAGCGAAGGCAGCUUACUAGACUGUAACUGACACUGAUGCACGAAAGUGUGGGGAUCAAACAGGAUUAGAUACCCUGGUAGUCCACACUGUAAACGAUGAUUA